rnacentral:rRNA from 1 species
GAUCCUGGCUCAGAAUCAACGCUGGCGGCGUGCCUAACACAUGCAAGUCGAGCGAGAAAAGGGGAGCAAUCCCCUGAGUACAGCGGCGCACGGGUGAGUAACACGUGGGUAAUCUGCCCUGGAGUGGGGAAUAACACCGGGAAACCGGUGCUAAUACCGCAUACGAUAACGAUGUUUGCGGACGUUGUUAUGAAAGGAGCAAUUCGCUCCAGGAGGAGCCCGCGGCUGAUUAGCUAGUUGGUGAGGUAAUGGCUCACCAAGGCGACGAUCAGUAUCCGGUCUGAGAGGACGGUCGGACACACUGGAACUGAGACACGGUCCAGACUCCUACGGGAGGCAGCAGUGGGGAAUUUUUGGCAAUGGGGGAAACCCUGACCAAGCAACGCCGCGUGGGUGAUGAAGUCUCUUGGGACGUAAAACCCUUUCGACAGGGAAGAAACCCGCAAGGGUUGACGGUACCUGUAGAAGAAGCCCCGGCUAACUCCGUGCCAGCAGCCGCGGUAAUACGGGGGGGGCAAGCGUUGUUCGGAAUUACUGGGCGUAAAGGGUGCGUAGGCGGUUUGCUAAGUUGGAUGUGAAAACUCUGGGCUUAACUCAGAGCCUGCAUUCAAAACUGACAAGCUCGAGUUCUGGAGGGGGUAGCGGAAUUCCUGGUGUAGCGGUGAAAUGCGUAGAUAUCAGGAGGAACAC